AGUCGAAACUAAUUAGACAUAAAAAAAGCAGUUAAAAACCUAAUAAAAAUUACAAUAAAUUAUAAUUUAAAGAAUAACUACACUUACUAUUCAAAUAAAUGAAUAAUAAAAUGUUUUACUUUAUUUAAAAUUAUAC
rnacentral:rRNA from 1 species